GAUGAACGCUGGCGGCGUGCUUAACACAUGCAAGUCGAGCGAAGCACUUUAUUUGAUUUCCUUCGGGACUGAUUAUUUUGUGACUGAGUGGCGGACGGGUGAGUAACGCGUGGGUAACCUGCCUUGUACAGGGGGAUAACAGUUGGAAACGGCUGCUAAUACCGCAUAAGCGCACGGCAUCGCAUGAUGCAGUGUGAAAAACUCCGGUGGUAUAAGAUGGACCCGCGUUGGAUUAGCUAGUUGGUGAGGUAACGGCCCACCAAGGCGACGAUCCAUAGCCGACCUGAGAGGGUGACCGGCCACAUUGGGACUGAGACACGGCCCAAACUCCUACGGGAGGCAGCAGUGGGGAAUAUUGCACAAUGGGCGAAAGCCUGAUGCAGCGACGCCGCGUGAGCGAAGAAGUAUUUCGGUAUGUAAAGCUCUAUCAGCAGGGAAGAUAAUGACGGUACCUGACUAAGAAGCACCGGCUAAAUACGUG
rnacentral:rRNA from 1 species